rnacentral:rRNA from 1 species
UACGGAGGUGGCGAGCGUUGUCCGAAGUUACUGGGCGUAAAGAGCUCGUAGGCGGUGUGUCGCGUCGGCCGUGAAAACCUGGGGCUCAACUGUGGGCUUGCAGCUGAUACGGCAGGCUUGAGUUCGGUAGGGGAGACUGGAAUUCCUGGUGUAGCGGUGAAAUGCGCAGAAUAUCAGGAGGAACACCGGUGGCGAAGGCGGGUCUCUGGGCCGAUACUGACGCUGAGGAGCGAAAGCGUGGGGAGCGAACAGG